AAAAGAACUCUGAAGAGAGGGUGCAAAGCGCGUGAAACCGCCGAGGGGUAAACUGGCUGAGCCGAGCGACGUGUCCCGCCGGGGCGGCUAUGAUUUCCACCGGAUUUCGUUUCUUUCCGUCGGCGGAUCUCCGCGGCGGGGGAAAGAAGGACGGGGGAAGAUCGUGUCCAACCCCGGCGGGUCUCCGCCGUCACCGGCACCGGAUCGUCUCGUCGCCGCGUCUUCCCGGGGUCGUCGGCUCCGGGGCUACUGGGCGCGGAUAUCUCGAACGAGAGCGGUCGCGGGUGCCGUGGCCGACCGCGGGCAUUGCGAAGGGGGUUUCGUGUACCGGGGGGCGUUCGCGCGCUCCGACCGUUUCCUCCCCGGCCCGUCUGAAGGUGUACGGCGUUAUUCCGGUAUCUGCCCGACCCGUCUUGAAACACGGACCAAGGAGUCUGACGCCUGUGCGAGCCGCAGGGUUUCCACUAAACCCCACGGCGAAGUGAAAGCGAGACGCGUACUCGGAAUUUAUUUCGGGUUACGCGUGGCGGGAUCUUCCCUCCGGCCGGCCGUCCCUUCUGGGGAUAGGGCGGGGGAGGGUAGCGCACCGCCGGCCCGACAGUCGCCGCGUCGACGGCCUUGUCGGAGCAUGAGCGCAGGCGUCGGGACCCGAUAGAUGGUGAUCUACGCCUGAGCAGAGCGAAGCCGGGGGAAACUCUGGUGGAGGCUCGAAGCGACUCUGACGUGCAAAUCGACCGCCCGACUCGGGCGUAGGGGCGAAAGACCAAUCGAACCAUCUAGUAGCUGGUUCCCUCCGAAGUUUCCCUCAGGAUAGCCGGCGCCGAUCAGUAACGAUUUUCACUCGGUAAAGCGAAUGGUUGGAGGCAUCGGGGGCGAAACGCCCUCGUCCUACUCUCAAACUUUCAACGGGUGAGGUUCCGGCCCCGCCUCGAACACAUUUCACGAUGCACGGGGGCCGGACUCGAAUCGAGGGUUGCCGAGUGGGCCAUUUUUGGUAAGCAGAACUGGCGCUGCGGGAUGAACCGAACGCCCGGUUGUGGUGCCCAACGCGGGACGCUCACGGGAAAGCUAAAAGGUGUGGGUCGGUACUGACAGCAGGGCGGUGGCCACGGAAGUUGGAAUCCGCCAAGGAGUGUGUAACAACUCACCUGCCGAACCGACCCG
rnacentral:rRNA from 1 species